rnacentral:rRNA from 1 species
GACGAACGCUGGCGGCGUGCUUAACACAUGCAAGUCGAACGGAAAGGCCCUGCUUUUGUGGGGUGCUCGAGUGGCGAACGGGUGAGUAACACGUGAGUAACCUGCCCUUGACUUUGGGAUAACUUCAGGAAACUGGGGCUAAUACCGGAUAGGAGCUCCUGCUGCAUGGUGGGGGUUGGAAAGUUUCGGCGGUUGGGGAUGGACUCGCGGCUUAUCAGCUUGUUGGUGGGGUAGUGGCUUACCAAGGCUUUGACGGGUAGCCGGCCUGUGAGGGUGACCGGCCACAUUGGGACUGAGGUACGGCCCAGACUCCUACGGGAGGCAGCAGUGGGGAAUAUUGCACAAUGGGCGGAAGCCUGAUGCAGCAACGCCGCGUGCGGGAUGACGGCCUUCGGGUUGUAAACCGCUUUCGCCUGUGACGAAGCGUGAGUGACGGUAAUGUGUAAAGAAGCACCGGCUAACUACGUG